rnacentral:rRNA from 1 species
GGAAUGACUCUCGGCAACGGAUAUCUCGGCUCUCGCAUCGAUGAAGAACGUAGCGAAAUGCGAUACGUGGUGUGAAUUGCAGAAUCCCGUGAACCAUCGAGUUUUUGAACGCAAGUUGCGCCCGAGGCCAUUUGGCUGAGGGCACGCCUGCCUGGGCGUCAGUU